CGGCCGCGUCGACAUUAGCUAGUUGGUGAGAUAGUAGCUCACCAAGGCGACGAUGCAUAGCCGACCUGAGAGGGUGAUCGGCCACACUGGGACUGAGACACGGCCCAGACUCCUACGGGAGGCAGCAGUAGGGAAUCUUCCGCAAUGGACGAAAGUCUGACGGAGCAACGCCGCGUGAGUGAUGAAGGGUUUCGGCUCGUAAAACUCUAUCAGCAGGGAAGAAAAUGACGGUACCUGACUAAGAAGCCCCGGCUAACUACGUGCCAGCAGCCGCGGUAAUACGUAGGGGCAAGCGUUAUCCGGAUUUACUGGGUGUAAAGGGAGCGUAGACGGGACAGCAAGUCUGAUGUGAAAGGCGGGGGCUCAACCCCCGAACUGCAUUGGAAACUGUUUUACUUGAGUACAGAAGAGGAGAGUGGAAUUCCAUGUGUAGCGGUGAAAUGCGCAGAGAUAUGGAGGAACACCAGUGGCGAAGGCGGCUCUCUGGUC
rnacentral:rRNA from 1 species